rnacentral:rRNA from 1 species
AACGUAGGACGCAAGCGUUAUCCGGAUUUACUGGGCGUAAAGGGCGCGUAGGCGGUCAGCACAAGUCAGUUGUGAAAUCUCCGGGCUUAACCCGGAAAGGUCAACUGAUACUGUGCGACUAGAGUGCGGAAGGGGCAACUGGAAUUCUCGGUGUAGCGGUGAAAUGCGUAGAUAUCGAGAGGAACACCUGCGGCGAAGGCGGGUUGCUGGGCCGACACUGACGCUGAUGCGCGAAAGCCAGGGGAGCGAACGGG